rnacentral:rRNA from 1 species
GACGAACGCUGGCGGCGUGCUUAACACAUGCAAGUCGAACGGAAAGGCCCUGCUUUUUUGUGGUGCUCGAGUGGCGAACGUGUGAGUAACACGUGAGUAUCCUGCGCUUGACUUUGUGAUAACUUCAGGAAACUGGUGCUAAUACCUGAUAGGUGCUCCUGCUGCAUGGUGGUGUUUGGACAUUUUGGUCUGUUGUGGGUGGACUCGCGGCUUAUCAGCUUGUGGGUGGGGUAGUUGCUUACCAAGGCUUCGAAGGAUAGUCUGCAUGGGAGGGUGAACGGCCACAUUGCGACUGAGAGAGGGACCAGACUGGAAUGGGGGACAGUAGUGGGAAGUAUUACCCAGUGGGCGGGAGUGUGAUGAAGAAGCGUCGGGAGCGGGAAGCCGGCCUUGGGGUUAUAAACCGCUUUAGCUUGAGACCAAGCGGGAGUGACGUUACUAGGUGAAGAAGCACCGGCUAACUACGUG